rnacentral:rRNA from 1 species
AACGAACGCUGGCGGCAUGCCUAACACAUGCAAGUCGAACGAGACCUUCGGGUCUAGUGGCGCACGGGUGCGUAACGCGUGGGAACCUGCCCUUAGGUUCGGAAUAACUCCCCGAAAGGGGUGCUAAUACCGGAUAAUGUCUUCGGACCAAAGAUUUAUCGCCUUUGGAUGGGCCCGCGUUGGAUUAGCUAGUUGGUAGGGUAAAAGCCUACCAAGGCGACGAUCCAUAGCUGGUCUGAGAGGAUGAUCAGCCACACUGGGACUGAGACACGGCCCAGACUCCUACGAGAGGCAGCAGUGGGGAAUAUUGGACAAUGGGCGAAAGCCUGAUCCAGCAAUGCCGCGUGAGUGAUGAAGGCCUUAGGGUUGUAAAGCGCUUUUACCCGAGAUGAUAAUGACAGUACCGGGAGAAUAAGCUCCGGCUAACUCCGUG